UACAGAGGUCCCAAGCCGUUGUUCGGAUUCACUGGGCGUAAAGGGUGCGUAGGUGGUUAGGUAAGUCGGAUGUGAAAUCUCCGAGCUCAACUCGGAAACUGCAUUGGAAACUACCUGGCUAGGAGGGUUGGAGGGGGGACUGGAAUGCUUGGUGUAGCAGUGAAAUGCGUAGAUAUCAAGCGGAACACCAGUGGCCGAAGGCGAGUCCCUGGACAACUCCUGACACUGGAUGCACGAAAGCUAGGGGAGCAAACAGG
rnacentral:rRNA from 1 species